rnacentral:rRNA from 1 species
GACGGAGGAUGCAAGCGUUAUCCGGAAUGAUUGGGCGUAAAGCGUCCGCAGGUGGCUGUUCAAGUCUGCUGUCAAAGACCAGGGCUUAACUUCGGAAAGGCAGUGGAAACUGAACAGCUAGAGUAUGGUAGGGGAAGAGGGAAUUCCUGGUGUAGCGGUGAAAUGCGUAGAGAUCAGGAAGAACAUCGGUGGCGAAGGCGCUAUGCUGGACCAUAACUGACACUGAGGGGCGAAAGCUAGGGGAGCGAAUGGG